rnacentral:rRNA from 1 species
GACGAACGCUGGCGGCGUGCCUAAUACAUGCAAGUCGAGCGAAUCAACAGGAGCUUGCUCCUGUUGGUUAGCGGCGGACGGGUGAGUAACACGUGGGCAACCUGCCUGUAAGACUGGGAUAACACCGGGAAACCGGUGCUAAUACCGGAUAAUCCUUUUCCUCUCAUGAGGAAAAGCUGAAAGUCGGUUUCGGCUGACACUUACAGAUGGGCCCGCGGCGCAUUAGCUAGUUGGUGAGGUAACGGCUCACCAAGGCGACGAUGCGUAGCCGACCUGAGAGGGUGAUCGGCCACACUGGGACUGAGACACGGCCCAGACUCCUACGGGAGGCAGCAGUAGGGAAUCUUCCACAAUGGAUGAAAGUCUGAUGGAGCAACACCGCGUGAGCGAUGAAGGCCUUCGGGUCGUAAAGCUCUGUUGUUAGGGAAGAACAAGUACCGGAGUAACUGCCGGUACCUUGACGGUACCUAACCAGAAAGCCACGGCUAACUACGUGCCAGCCGCCGCCGUAA